GUGGUCCAAAGCAGGCCAAAAAAUCUCCAAGAAAAACAAUCACAAGGUUACUUUUGACAAUAGAGAAGCACUGCCAAAUUGAACUAGUUGCUUCAAACAUUGACAUUUAUUGCAGAGAGUUACAAAUACAACUGCAAAACUCAUGCUCAAUGAAAGAGUUAAAGAAUGUUCUCAGUCAUGCUGUUAUAUUUAUUUACCCUUCAUGUUGUUCACAAUGGUUUAAGCCAAAACAAAAGGUAUAUUAUUCAGUGUAAUAAACUUUGUAGAUUAAGGUUUUGCAACAUGCAGUUAACUUGAUCAGUAAGAUUGCAGGCAUACUUAGGAACAUUACUUUAUUCUAUAUUCUUUCAACCAUUGCAGGCAUGCUUAGGAACAUUACUUUGUGUCAUUUCUUGUGUCUCUUCCUAUCUUUGGCAUAAAAGUAAAAUUCUCUAUGCUGGUUGUUCCAAGAGAUAUUAUUAACUAAUUUUGGGAUUUGGAUUUCAUGCAUUCACGCAGUUGGCACAUUGUUGACCAUUGGAUCGAGAUCAAACGGUCCAGAUUUCAAGCUCCGUAUGUUAAUGUUAAAAACAAUAUCAAAAUGUGUGCUUUCUACGCUGUCUGAUCUCGAUCUAACAACGGUUGAUGUGUUGAUUGAGUGAAUGCGUGAGAUUAUGACUAUGGGGAAUCCAAAUCAAUCUCAUGAUUCAUGGUUAAGAUUACAAGCAUCGGAUGCAACUCGAGAUAGAGGCUCUAAAUGAAGCACUCUUCUUGCUUCUCUUUCAAGCAAUCAUAUGUCUACAAAGAGAAUUUGAUCCUUUCUUCACAUAUGCAUCUCUCCCUCUCUUUUUACAGCUUAUAUAAACCCUUUUCUCAUAUUGUGAGAAUUAUCAUAUUGUGUACAUAGAACCUCAGCCGACAAUGAGAUUAAGAUUUCUUGCAUGCUUCAUCAUUGUUUUAUGCACUCAAGCCAUAUCAAGCUUUUGUUUAAAUGGAAAUUUCAGUUCAGAACAAAGAAGCCUAAACUCGUCAAAUAGCAACAUGCAAAGAAAGCAACCUAUUAGUACUGUUGGAAACUAUGGAAACAUAAAGGAGGAAAAGUUCGAACGAGAUCAUUUGUCGAUUAGGAGAGCUCAUAAAGGAAAAGGAACCAAAGGUGGAUCAAAUGUUAAUAACCGCCCUGACUCUCACCGUUCUAGAAACUCUGCACCUUCCUUGAUACCUUGGAUUUCAAAUGUGUGUAUAAGCUUUGUUUUAGUAUUAUUCUUCUCCUUUCAUGCUAAGUUGCUAUGAAUUUUCAAACACUUUUAGUUCUGUUUGAAGCAUGGGCUUGUUUAGAAGAGAAAUGCAUCUUUGUACAUCAUAAUGUAUUGUUGUCCUUCUAAAUUGUCAAAACUUAAAUUUUAACAUGAAUAAAUGCUUUGAGUUAA